ensembl:lncRNA
GUUGGGAUGAUUCCUGCAGCUGCUCCCCUGCUGCACGGUUUCUUGGAGCUUUUUUGCCCCACAGUUAAGAUUCCCCACGCAGAUUCACACCAUACCCCUGCAGACCGCGAGUUAUCGAAGCUCAUACAGCACAUCCAAUCAACCUGAAAGGCUGGCUGAGUUACCCGCAUCACUGCUUCACUUCAGUGUUUCUCACACCUUCGUCCUGAAGGAAGGACACAAAGAUGUUACUCUGAUUGUCUUUGGUUUCUUCAGUUUUUCAUCCCCCUUCGAGUUGCACAGGCACCGAAGUAAAGGUAAGCACACACAGCCCCCGUUCCCAUCCCACACUGCGUGCA